CCCGGGGCAGCCGCCAGAUUCUGCGCCCCGGGCCGGGCCCCCUACCACCGCAGCCCGACUCAGUCGGGGGUCCCAGGAAUCCCAGGAGCAGCCAUAUGUGCCUUCCCUUAAAUGCGGGCGCAAAACCAAAUCGAAGAGAGCCAGUCGAGAGCUGCUCCCCGACACACACACACAGGGCCCAGAGGUGCCUUCCCCUUGGCCGAAGAGGAGGCUGGCAACAGAGGAGCAGCACCGUGGACUGAGAGGGAUGGGAAGGAGGACGACUUACGUUGGCCUGGCCCGCGGCCCCACGU